CGUAGCCGAACUGAGAGGUUGAUCGGCCACAUUGGGACUGAGACACGGCCCAAACUCCUACGGGAGGCAGCAGUAGGGAAUCUUCCACAAUGGACGCAAGUCUGAUGGAGCAACGCCGCGUGAGUGAAGAAGGCUUUCGGGUCGUAAAACUCUGUUGUUGGAGAAGAAUGGUCGGCAGAGUAACUGUUGUCGGCGUGACGGUAUCCAACCAGAAAGCCACGGCUAACUACGUGCCAGCAGCCGCGGUAAUACGUA
rnacentral:rRNA from 1 species